rnacentral:lncRNA from 1 species
AUGAACAAAGCUACUGGAAGUGAUGGCAUUCCAGUUAAGCUCUUUCAAAUCCUGAAAGAUGAUGCUGUGAAAGUGCUGCACUCAAUAGGCCAGCAAAUUUGGAAAACUCAGCAGUGGCCACAGGACUGGAAAAGGUCAGUUUUCAUUCCAAUCCCAAAGAAAGGCAAUGCCAAAGAAUGCUCAAACUACCACACAAUUGCACUCAUCUCACAUGCUAGUAAAGUAAUGCUCAAAAUUCUCCAAGCCAGGCUUCAGCAAUACAUGAACUGUGAACUUCCUGAUGUUCAAGCUGGUUUCAGAAAAGGCAGAGGAACCAGAGAUCAAAUUGCCAACAUCCGCUGGAUCAUGGAAAAAGCAAAAGAGUUCCAGAAAAACAUCUAUUUCUGCUUUAUUGACUAUGCCAAAGCCUUUGACUGUGUGGAUCACAAUAAAUCGUGGAAAAUUUUGAGAGAGAGAGGAAUACCAGACCACCUGACCUGCCUCUUGAGAAAUCUGUAUGCAGGUCAGGAAGCAACAGUUAAAGCUGGACAUGGAACAACAGACUGGUUCCAAAUAGGAAAAGGAGUACGUCAAGGCUGUAUACUGUCACUCUGCUUAUUUAACUUAUAUGUAGAGUACAUCAUGAGAAAUGCUGGACUGGAAGAAACACAAGCUGGAAUCAAGAUUGCUGGGAGAAAUAUCAAUAACCUCAGAUAUGCAGAUGACACCACCCUUAUGGCAGAAAGUGAAGAGGAACUAAAAAGCCUCUUGAUGAAAGUGAAAGAGGAGAGUGAAAAAGUUGGCUUAAAGCUCAACAUUCAGAAAACGGAGAUCAUGGCAUCCAGUCCCAUCACUUCAUGGCAAAUAGAUGGGGAAACAGUGGAAACAGUGUCAGACUUUAUUUUUUCGAGCUCCAAAAUCACUGUAGAUGGUGAUUGCAGCCAUGAAAUUAAAAGACACUUACUCCUUGGAAGAAAAGUUAUGAUCAACAUCGAUAGUAUAUUAAAAAACAGAGACAUUACUUUGCCAACUAAGGUCCAUCUAGUCAAGGCUAUGGUUUUUCCUGUGGUCAUGUAUGGAUGUGAGAGUUGGACUGUGAAGGAGGCUGAGCGCCGAAGAAUUGAUGCUUUUGAACUGUGGUGUUGGAGAAGACUCUUGAGAGUCCCCUGGACUUCAAGGAGAUUGAACCAGUCCAUUCCGAAGGAGAUCAACCCUGGGAUUUCUUUGGAAGAAAUGAUGCUAAAACUGAAACUCUAG